AACUAGUCUAACCAAGCAAAAAGACUUUUAGUUUGACUUCCCGAACCCAGGCGAGCUAUUUUAAGACAGCUUUUUGAGCUAACCCGUCUCUGUUGCAAAAGAGUGGGAAGAUCCUAAAAUAGAGGUGACAGACCUAACGAGCCUGGCGAUAGCUGGUUGCCCCUGAAAAGGAUCUUAGUCCCGCUUAAAGACUUAAUUAUAAUUCUAAAUCAUUCUUUAAAGUAAUUCAAUCAAGGUACAGCUUGUUUGAAAAAGGAUACAACCUCAAUUACUGGGUAUUUUCCUCAAUGACUAAGGUGACCAAGUAGGCCUAAGAGCAGCCAUCUUCAAUAAAAGCGUCAAAGCUUAAUCACCCUUCAUUCCAAUCCCUUCAUCUUUUAUUUAACCCUUUAUUACUAAGGGGCAAAUCUAUAUUUAUAUAGAAAAUUUUAUGUUAAAACUAGUAAUAAGAAGACGACUCUUCUCUUUAAUGUAAGUAUACAUCAGCAAGGACACCCCACUGAUCAUUAAC
rnacentral:rRNA from 1 species